GAUGAACGCUGGCGGCGGGCCUAAUACAUGCAAGUCGAGCGAACGGACCAUAAGCUUGCUUCUCUUAUGUUAGCGGCGGACGGGUGAGUAACACGUGGAUAACCUACCUAUAAGACUGGGAUAACUUCGGGAAACCGGAGCUAAUACCGGAGAAUAUUUUGAACCGCAUGGUUCAAAAGUGAAAGACGGUCUUUCUGUCACUUAUAGAUGGAUCCGCGCUGCAUUAGCUAGUUGGUAAGGUAACGGCUUACCAAGGCAACGAUGCAUAGCCGACCUGAGAGGGUGAUCGGCCACACUGGAACGGAGCCACGGUACAGACCACUAUGGGAGGGAGCGGAAGGGAAUCUUACGCAAGGGGAGAAAGCAUGACGGAGAAAAGCCGAGUGAGUGAUGAAGGUCUUCGGAUAGUAAAUCUAUGUUAUUAGGGAAGAACAUAUGUGUAAGUAACUGGGCACAUUUUGAAGGUACCUAAUCAGAAAGCCACGGCUAACUACGUG
rnacentral:rRNA from 1 species